GACGAACGCUGGCGGCGUGCUUAACACAUGCCAGUCGAACGGAAAGGCCCUGCUUUUGUGGGGUGCUCGAGUGGCGAACGGGUGAGUAACACGUGAGUAACCUGCCCUUGACUUUGGGAUAACUUCAGGAAACUGGGGCUAAUACCGGAUAUGAGCUCCUGCUGCAUGGUGGGGGUUGGAAAGUUUCGGCGGUUGGGGAUGGACUCGCGGCUUAUCAGCUUGUUGGUGGGGUAGUGGCUUACCAAGGCUUUGACGGGUAGCCGGCCUGCGAGGGUGACCGGCCACAGUGGGACUGAGAUACGGCCCAGACUCCUACGGGAGGCAGCAGUGGGGAAUAUUGCACAAUGGGCGGAAGCCUGAUGCAGCAACGCCGCGUGCGGGAUGACGGCCUGCGGGUUGUAAACCGCUUUCGCCUGUGACGAAGCGUGAGUGACGGUAAUGGGUAAAGAAGCACCGGCUAACUACGUG
rnacentral:rRNA from 1 species